CGGUUAUUGCUGGCAGCGGCCGCUCGACUUUUGCUCUUUUCCUAUUGCGUAAACGUAUGCAGUACGUAGUUUUAGUGACGUUGAUUUCUUACAUCAAUGCAAACGUAACGCGACUGCAAAGUGAAAGUCUGUGGAGGUUGUGCUGUAAUGCAGGAAAGUCUUGUGUCCCUGCAUUAGUAUAUUCGAAGAAUACCAGGGAGACGGUUGUGCAUUGGCCCUAUACCCACGAGUAUACACCCAACUCAUAUAACCAUUUGAAUAACAGGGAGCUGAGCUAGUUGGUAGGUGUUCACGUUAAAAGACUGGGCGUGUAAAGACGGACACAAGAGAGAAGCCAAGACAACACAAACGCCGAAGCAACUGAGAAGGCGCACAGCGGCGGAAAAAAAGGGAAGCCGUAUAUAGCUAGGCGAAACCAAAUUUCGUCCGUCUCAGGUUCGCAAAACUCCUAGAGCGUAUGUGCCACAGAAAUUGGGCAGUUGCCGCUACUCACCACUGGUCCACUAAAAAUGAAGAAGGGAAUGGGCGGCACACAGCAAUUAAGAUUUAUGGACAGACAUUUAUCCGAAAACACGGAGCCCAAGCUAUGCUUACCUCGCUCCGUGGCGGGAAUGAUAAGGAGGCCAAGCAAGAACCCGAAACCAGCCGAAGCGGACCCGAAAGGUCCUUGUUCUCUACCGAAGCAGCGAUCAGUAAUGCUGUUUUGACCCGCAGGUGGCCGGUGUGAGAUGGCAUGCUACGCUCGUCUUCUCAUCUGCCACGUAGCAGCACGCGUGACUGCUCUUUUUUUCCUGCGGGUGUGGCAGACAAAAUAAUGAGGUUGUGUGUUUGCUGAA